UACGUAGGGUGCGAGCGUUGUCCGGAAUUACUGGGCGUAAGGAGCUCGUAGGUGGUUUGUCGCGUUGUUCGUGAAAACUCACAGCUUAACUGUGGGCGUGCGGGCGAUACGGGCAGACUGGAGUACUGCAGGGGAGACUGGAAUUCCUGGUGUAGCGGUGAAAUGCGUAGAUAUCGAGAGGAACACCUGCGGCGAAGGCGGGUUGCUGGGCUGACACUGACGCUGAUGCGCGAAAGCCAGGGGAGCGAACGGG
rnacentral:rRNA from 1 species